AAGGAUUUUUGUCAUUCUUGGCCCUGGUCAGUAGAAGCAACAGAGCACGCCAGAAGAACUCUCCAGGCAGAAUGUCCUUCCACCUGUUUAUGCUGUAAGACAGACUCCCAAAUGUGAGGCGCUGUGGAGAGCUGUUUCUUUGAAUGGCAGCCGAGCGUGCCAGCAGGAUCCUUGGCAGGGAUGCCUAGGCUCUGAAGCUGCCAUUCAGGAGAGCUAAAUAGAGAAGAGAAACUUGAGCAAACCACUUCCUGGAACACUGAGAUCCUGAAUGAGAAAUUUAGAAGCCCCAGAUCCUCUCUAUUCUUAUACCAGCCAAGGUCAGCUUUCCAAGCUCCUGUUUAUUUGAAGCUUUCCCUUUCAAAGGACUGUGGCGAUGGAGGAUGGUAAUAAAAAAGACUUCCUUUUCUUUCAGAAGAUAUUAAAGUUACUGUUGUGCUCCUCUUUAAG
ensembl:lincRNA Gm29375 predicted gene 29375